rnacentral:rRNA from 1 species
CCUACGGGAGGCAGCAGUGGGGAAUAUUGGGCAAUGGGCGCAAGCCUGAACCAGCCAAGUCGCGUGAGGGAGUACUGCCCUAUGGGUUUUAAACCUCUUUUGUCGUGGAGCAAAAGCCGGACCUGUCCGGCUGUGAGAGUUCCCGAAAAAAAAGCAUCGGCUAACUCCGUUCCAGCAGCCGCGGUAAUACGGAGGAUGCGUGCGUUAUUCGGAUUUAUUGGGUUUAAAGGGUGCGCAGGCGGAUGUUUAAGUCAGCGGUAAAAACGUGGGGCUCAACCCCAUCCCGCCGUUGAAACUGGGGAUCUAGAGUGUGCGAGAGGUAUGCGGAAUGCGUGGUGUAGCGGUGAAAUGCAUAGAUAUCACGCAGAACCCCGAUUGCGAAGGCAGCAUACCGGUGCGCAACUGACGCUCAGGCACGAAAGCGUGGGUAUCGAACAGGAUUAGAUACCCUAGUAGUC